rnacentral:misc_RNA from 1 species
AAGUCGUAACAAGGUUCCCUUCCGCUCGUACAGCUCCGGAGACCUUGCAACCCUUAUUAUAAGGAAGGAGGCAGCACGACAAUAAACAAAGCUCGCCGUUUGCAAGUCGGCCACUGGUCGGCAACACAAUCGAAUUGACGGGGACCUCCUAAAGCCUGCAACACCAACCGUCCGGGGAAACCCGGGCGGGGCCCUAACGGGGUGGUAAGAGAGUGCAGGAUAAUACAAUGGACGAUCCGCAGCGAAGACCCUACCGGCGCGAGCCUACGGGUACCGUUCACAGACUAAGUGAUUGUGGGCGGGGCAUGAGAGCCCUGUCUAAGAUAUAGUCGGUCCCUACCCGAAAGGAUAGGGGAGAGUACGUCCGUAGGUGAACCUGCGGAAGGAUCAUUAAAGAAUCGCCCCGUUUUUUGAAAUGGGUUCUAUUCCCAAACCGUGUAUACAUACCUUUGUUGCUUUGGCGGGCCGCCUUCGGGCGUUGGCUUCUAGCUGACUGCGCCCCGCCAGAGGACCCAAACUCGUUUGUUUAAUGAUGUCUGAGUACUAUAUAAUAGUUAAAA